CCCUGACGCCGAUCGCCGGCAAUUUCUCAAAACAAAAAAAGGCCGCGCGAUCAGCACGGCCUUUCCUGUUGGUCGGA
rnacentral:misc_RNA from 1 species